AUUGAACGCUGGCGGCAUGCUUUACACAUGCAAGUCGAACGGCAGCACGGGGGUAACCCUGGUGGCGAGUGGCGAACGGGUGAGUAAUGCAUCGGAACAUAUCUUAAAGUGGGGAAUAACGCAUCGAAAGGUGUGCUAAUACUCCAUAUACUCUAAGGAGGAAAGCGGGGGAUCGAAAGACCUCGUGCUUUAAGGGUGGCCGAUGUCUGAUUAGCUAGUUGGUGGGGUAAAGGCUUACCAAGGCGACGAUCAGUAGCUGGUCUGAGAGGACGAUCAGCCACACUGGGACUGAGACACGGCCCAGACUCCUACGGGAGGCAGCAGUGGGGAAUUUUGGACAAUGGGCGAAAGCCUGAUCCAGCCAUGCCGCGUGAGU
rnacentral:rRNA from 1 species